CAAGAAUUGCAGUCAGCUGUCCAUAUCCGUGGGUUCCACAUCCACAGAUAUGGAACUCGCAGAUACAGAGGGCUAAUUGUAAAGGAUGUGAGUAUCUGCCGAUUUUUGUAUCCACAGGGUUCCUGGAACCAGUCCCCCACGGAUACUGAGGGCUAACUGCAUUGAGACACUAUAUUGAAAGAGCAACAUAAGAUGGUCACAGUUUGGUAAGAAGAUCAAAGGGCACGAUCAACAGCUCGUGCACUGCCUUGGUGUGGACCCAGAGUUCAAGCACAGACGAAGAUCAGACACUGACUUCACACUUCUGAUAGAUAAAUGAAGAAUUCAGAGCCUGAACCUAAGCUCAAAAUAAGAUGCCAAAAAAGAAAGAAAAGAUCAAAGAGCUUGGAACAGAAUUCCAGCAAGCUGAACCCAGAUUCUUUUCCCUAUAAGCCCUUGCUAUUUGGAUUGGCAGCAAAGCUGAUGGCAUUGAGAAGCUACCCCAGACUCCCAGGUAAUUCACAUACCUUUCUUGCCAACU